rnacentral:rRNA from 1 species
ACGCGUAUACAAUCUGCCUUAUACUGGGGUAUAGCCUUUAGAAAUGAAGAUUAAUCCCCCAUAGUCUCUAGAUGUGGCAUCACACUUAGAGUAAAGGUUACGGUAUAAGAUGAGUAUGCGUUCUAUUAGUUUGUUGGUGAGGUAACGGCUCACCAAGACUACGAUAGAUAGGGGCCCUGAGAGGGGGAUCCCCCACACUGGUACUGAGACACGGACCAGACUCCUACGGGAGGCAGCAGUGAGGAAUAUUGGACAAUGGGCGCAAGCCUGAUCCAGCCAUGCCGCGUGCAGGAAGACUGCCCUAUGGGUUGUAAACUGCU